rnacentral:miRNA from 1 species
CGGGGAUUCUACUUUUGGUGAAG